rnacentral:rRNA from 1 species
AGAGUUUGAUCAUGGCUCAGAUUGAACGCUGGCGGCAGGCCUAACACAUGCAAGUCGAACGGUAACAGGAAGCAGCUUGCUGCUUUGCUGACGAGUGGCGGACGGGUGAGUAAUGUCUGGGAAACUGCCUGAUGGAGGGGGAUAACUACUGGAAACGGUGGCUAAUACCGCAUAACGUCGCAAGACCAAAGAGGGGGACCUUCGGGCCUCUUGCCAUCAGAUGUGCCCAGAUGGGAUUAGCUUGUUGGUGAGGUAACGGCUCACCAAGGCGACGAUCCCUAGCUGGUCUGAGAGGAUGACCAGCCACACUGGAACUGAGACACGGUCCAGACUCCUACGGGAGGCAGCAGUGGGGAAUAUUGCACAAUGGGCGCAAGCCUGAUGCAGCCAUGCCGCGUGUAUGAAGAAGGCCUUCGGGUUGUAAAGUACUUUCAGCGGGGAGGAAGGUGUUGUGGUUAAUAACCGCAGCAAUUGACGUUACCCGCAGAAGAAGCACCGGCUAACUCCGUGCCAGCAGCCGCGGUAAUACGGAGGGUGCAAGCGUUAAUCGGAAUUACUGGGCGUAAAGCGCACGCAGGCGGUCUGUCAAGUCGGAUGUGAAAUCCCCGGGCUCAACCUGGGAACUGCAUUCGAAACUGGCAGGCUUGAGUCUUGUAGAGGGGGGUAGAAUUCCAGGUGUAGCGGUGAAAUGCGUAGAGAUCUGGAGGAAUACCGGUGGCGAAGGCGGCCCCCUGGACAAAGACUGACGCUCAGGUGCGAAAGCGUGGGGAGCAAACAGGAUUAGAUACCCUGGUAGUCCACGCCGUAAACGAUGUCUACUUGGAGGUUGUGCCCUUGAGGCGUGGCUUCCGGAGCUAACGCGUUAAGUAGACCGCCUGGGGAGUACGGCCGCAAGGUUAAAACUCAAAUGAAUUGACGGGGGCCCGCACAAGCGGUGGAGCAUGUGGUUUAAUUCGAUGCAACGCGAAGAACCUUACCUGGUCUUGACAUCCACGGAAGUUUUCAGAGAUGAGAAUGUGCCUUCGGGAACCGUGAGACAGGUGCUGCAUGGCUGUCGUCAGCUCGUGUUGUGAAAUGUUGGGUUAAGUCCCGCAACGAGCGCAACCCUUAUCCUUUGUUGCCAGCGAUUAGGUCGGGAACUCAAAGGAGACUGCCAGUGAUAAACUGGAGGAAGGUAGGGAUGACGUCAAGUCAUCAUGGCCCUUACGACCAGGGCUACACACGUGCUACAAUGGCGCAUACAAAGAGAAGCGACCUCGCGAGAGCAAGCGGACCUCAUAAAGUGCGUCGUAGUCCGGAUUGGAGUCUGCAACUCGACUCCAUGAAGUUGGAAUCGCUAGUAAUCGUGGAUCAGAAUGCCACGGUGAAUACGUUCCCGGGCCUUGUACACACCGCCCGUCACACCAUGGGAGUGGGUUGCAAAAGAAGUAGGUAGCUUAACCUUCGGGAGGGCGCUUACCACUUUGUGAUUCAUGACUGGGGUGAAGUCGUAACAAGGUAACCGUAGGGGAACCUGCGGUUGGAUCACCUCCUU